rnacentral:rRNA from 1 species
UACAGAGGGGGCAAGCGUUGUUCGGAAUUACUGGGCGUAAAGGGCGCGUAGGCGGCCUGCUAAGUCGAACGUGAAAUCCCCGGGCUUAACCUGGGAAUGGCAUUGGUGACUGUACGGCUAGAGUGUGUCAGAGGGGGUAGAAUUCCACGUGUAGCAGUGAAAUGCGUAGAGAUGUGGAGGAAUACCGAUGGCGAAGGCAGCCCCCUGGGAUGACACUGACGCUCAUGCACGAAAGCGUGGGGAGCGAACGGG